UUUAUUGGAGAGUUUGAUCCUGGCUCAGGAUGAACGCUGGCGGCGUGCCUAAUACAUGCAAGUCGAGCGAAUGGAUUAAGAGCUUGCUCUUAUGAAGUUAGCGGCGGACGGGUGAGUAACACGUGGGUAACCUGCCCAUAAGACUGGGAUAACUCCGGGAAACCGGGGCUAAUACCGGAUAACAUUUUGAACCGCAUGGUUCGAAAUUGAAAGGCGGCUUCGGCUGUCACUUAUGGAUGGACCCGCGUCGCAUUAGCUAGUUGGUGAGGUAACGGCUCACCAAGGCAACGAUGCGUAGCCGACCUGAGAGGGUGAUCGGC
rnacentral:rRNA from 2 species